rnacentral:tRNA from 1 species
GCUGGAAUGGUCUAGUUGGUUAUGACGACUGCCUAACACGCAGUAGGUCCCGAGUUCGACUCGCGGUUCCAGUA